AGAGUCAAAAUGAGAAAAAAGAAAGGAAGAAACCAAAACAGUUCUGGAAUUUGUGAGAGUGAAGAAAGGAAUAGGCUACCCACUCCAGUAUUCUUGUCUGGAGACUAUAGCUUCACAUUACGGCUUCCCUGGUGGCUCAGAUGGUAAAAGAAUCUGCUUCAGUGCAGGAGACCUAGGUUCGAUCCCUGGGUUGGAAAGAUCCCGUGGAGAAGGAAAUGGCACUCCAGUAUUCUUGCCUGGAGAAUCCCAUGGACAGAGGAGACUGGUGGGGUAUAGUCCAUGGGGUUGCAAAGAGCUGGACAUGACUCGGUGACUAACACUUUCACUUUAAUAACCUUUAAAACAGGGUGGGCCUACUUUAACUGUCUCCCAGUCAGAGCUGAGGAGGAGUGAGAUGCUGAGGAGGCCCUUUGCAGGUGCGCCUUCCUUCCACAACCUCAACCCCGCUGACCAAGCCCGACGAUGCAGCUGGCGGACCCAACACUGCAGACGACCAUGCCCUGCAGAGCUCUGCCUGGCAGACUUGAUUGCACGUGGCCCUGCGAUCGGCAGGUAGACAGUCCCGUCCCUCUGUGAUGCAAGAAGGGCUCACCGCACAGGACUCAGACAAGAUGGAAGCCACGUUCACCUGAGACCAGGCCUCCCUCGACCCACAGCCAGGCUGAGCCCUCAGACAGCCCUGCUGAGAACAGGCUGGCCUUGGGGGACACAUCCUCCAAUCUACCACCCCUCACUCUUCAUCCCACUGCCCCAUACCUGGGUCUUACGGACUGUCUAACACCUCCCUACAAAGGAAAAGCCCAGAGUGCCUGAUCCCUGACGUGCCUGCCAUGGUCACACAACUCUCCACGGCAACAUCUGUCUCCACACAUCUCUCUCCCUC